rnacentral:rRNA from 1 species
UACGUAGGGACCAAGCGUUGUUCGGAUUUACUGGGCGUAAAGGGCGCGUAGGCGGCGCGGUAAGUCACUUGUGAAAUCUCUGAGCUUAACUCAGAACGGCCAAGUGAUACUGCAGUGCUAGAGUGUGGAAGGGGCAAUCGGAAUUCUUGGUGUAGCGGUGAAAUGCGUAGAUAUCAAGAGGAACACCUGAGGUGAAGACGGGUUGCUGGGCCAACACGUGACGCUGAUGCGCGAAAGCCAGGGGAGCAAACGG